CUUUUACGUCGGCCUUCGCGAGCGUUUGGUCGGGUGGUAGGAACAAUGGCGCUGUCUUCAGUGGCACAGUGGAGCAGCUCUGAAGAUGCAAAGAUACACGAAAAAACUUCCAGAACAUCUGGGAGAAUAUUUAAUGGAAAAUCGCUUGGUUAAAACCUGACACUCUUAACAGGUAUGUGUUGUUUUAGUACUUUAUGAUUGAGCAUACCAUUUAAUCCACACCUAAACUAAAUCAAAUUUUUUUUGUCAGUGAACAGCGUUCUGAGUGUGGACGAGUAGCCAGUGAAGAUAAUGAAUGUCGAACGUGACUGACUAGCAGCUUCAUUUUGAAGUAGGUUGUAUGGCUUAAAACUUCUGUAGUAUUUGUACUAUAAUACUUGCCUUUUAGCAUUACCUUGGUUUGUGGUCAGUGUCACAGAAGUGCAGUUUAAUGUAUUAUGUGUACAUAUACAAGGUCUGAUUGGUCUAAUCAAUGAUGAAACCUAUCCCGAAGCUGAUAACCUGAAGAAAAAUAAGUACGGAUUCGGCUUCUGAGAUUAAGACCAGUAAUUCAGAGGUGGAGUAAAUUUUGUUGCCGUGAUUUUAUAACAGUUGUGUUAUAAAAUCCUGGGGUUUUUUUUUUCUGCCAACAGUGAGGGUCGCUGUCUGCCCAUUGAUAGAGGCCAGAUUGUCUUGGAAGUUCCAAAGUUGCAACGAUUUCUGUAAGUGGAGUUUUUCUGUUUGCUUAGAGAUCAGUGAAUAUUGUGUCCUUGGUCUUAUCUGUGAUGAUCUUAUCCCGAACCUGAACUUCUGUUGAAAAAAAAACUUUUACGGAUCUGGCUUCUGAGAUGGACCGUUAUAAGGACAAUACUUUUUUUUUUUAAUACUUUUAAUGCUUUUACAUAUGUUGUAAUGUUUGUAGUCUUGUAAGAAUCUCGUGUUUUUCCUUUUCUAGGGCUAGUGCCACGAGGUUUACUUGACUGUUGUGUGAAAAGCUGAUAAGAAAACCAUCCAGAAAA
rnacentral:sRNA from 1 species